AAUUCUUCUCAGCCUUUUGGCUAAGAUCAAGUGUAAUGGCUGUUCUUACCGUUUCAUAUCUGGUAAGUCCUCGGUCCUCUAUCUGAGGACAAUAUAGUAAGUGGAUUUUUGGAGAUAGGAGAUGGAAUAGGAGUUCGUGCCAUCCAUUCCACGCAUUGAUCUGGUAUUGUCAUACCACCAGGAGCGGUGCAUCCCCU
ensembl:snRNA U2 U2 spliceosomal RNA